UACGUAGGGCGCAAGCGUUGUCCGGAAUUAUUGGGCGUAAAGAGCUCGUAGGUGGCUUGUCGCGUCUGCCGUGAAAGCUCGCAGCUUAACUGCGGGUCUGCGGUGGAUACGGGCUGGCUAGAGGUAGGUAGGGGAGAACGGAAUUCCUGGUGUAGCGGUGAAAUGCGCAGAUAUCGGGAAGAACACCUGUGGCGAAGGCGGCUCUCUGGGACGGUACUGACGCUGAGACGCGAAAGCGUGGGGAGCAAACAGG
rnacentral:rRNA from 1 species